GCGUCGGUGGUGCAGCGGUUCAGCACAUGUUCCCAGAAAGAGUGAGAUCUGGGUUCGAACCCCGGGUGACGCA